rnacentral:rRNA from 1 species
AACAGGAUUAGAUACCCUGGUAGUCCACGCCGUAAACGAUGAGUGCUAAGUGUUAGGGGGUUUCCGCCCCUUAGUGCUGCAGCUAACGCAUUAAGCACUCCGCCUGGGGAGUACGGCCGCAAGGCUGAAACUCAAAGGAAUUGACGGGGGCCCGCACAAGCGGUGGAGCAUGUGGUUUAAUUCGAAGCAACGCGAAGAACCUUACCAGGUCUUGACAUCCCGCUGCCCGCCUUGGAGACAAGGCUUUCCCUUCGGGGACAGCGGUGACAGGUGGUGCAUGGUUGUCGUCAGCUCGUGUCGUGAGAUGUUGGGUUAAGUCCCGCAACGAGCGCAACCCUUGAUCUUAGUUGCCAGCAUUCAGUUGGGCACUCUAAGGUGACUGCCGGUGACAAACCGGAGGAAGGUGGGGAUGACGUCAAAUCAUCAUGCCCCUUAUGACCUGGGCUACACACGUGCUACAAUGGACGGUACAAAGGGUUGCCAACCCGCGAGGGGGAGCCAAUCCCAGAAAACCGUUCUCAGUUCGGAUUGCAGGCUGCAACUCGCCUGCAUGAAGCCGGAAUCGCUAGUAAUCGUGGAUCAGCAUGCCACGGUGAAUACGUUCCCGGGCCUUGUACACACCGCCCGUCACACCACGAGAGUUUGUAACACCCGAAGUCGGUGAGGUAACCCUUACGGGAGCCAGCCGCCGAAGGUGGGACAGAUGAUUGGGGUGAAGUCGUAACAAGGUAACC